AUUGAACGCUGGCGGCAGGCUUAACACAUGCAAGUCGAGCGGGGUGAUGGUGCUUGCACUAUCACUUAGCGGCGGACGGGUGAGUAAUGCUUAGGAAUCUGCCUAUUAGUGGGGGACAACAUCUCGAAAGGGAUGCUAAUACCGCAUACGUCCUACGGGAGAAAGCAGGGGAUCACUUGUGACCUUGCGCUAAUAGAUGAGCCUAAGUCGGAUUAUGCUAGUUGGGGGGGUAAAGGCCUGCCAAGGCGACGAUCUGUAGCGGGUCUGAGAGGAUGAUCCGCCACACUGGGACUGGGGCACGGCACAGACUCCUACGGGAGGCAGCAGGGGGGAAUAUUGGACAAUGGGGGGAACCCUGAUCCAGCCAUGCCGCGUGUGUGAAGAAGGCCUUAUGGUUGUAAAGCACUUUAAGCGAGGAGGAGGCUCUUUUGGUUAAUACCCAAGAUGAAUGGACGUUACUCGCAGAAUAAGCACCGGCUAACUCUGUGCCAGCCGCCGCGGUAA
rnacentral:rRNA from 1 species